rnacentral:rRNA from 1 species
CUACACGGGUAUCUAAUCCCGUUUGCUCCCCUGGCUUUCGCGCCUCAGCGUCAGAAGAGAUCCAGUCCGUCGCUUUCGCCACCGGCGUUCCUUCCGAUAUCAACGCAUUUCACCGCUCCACCGGAAGUUCCACAGACCCCUACCUCCCUCUAGCUCCACAGUAUCAAAGGCACUGCGACAGUUAAGCUGCCGGAUUUCACCCCUGACUUUUGGAGCCGCCUACGCGCCCUUUAUGCCCAGUGAUUCCGAAUAACGUUUGCACGGUUCGUCUUACCGCGGCGGCUGGCAC